rnacentral:rRNA from 1 species
AACGAACGCUGGCGGCAUGCCUAACACAUGCAAGUCGAACGAGACCUUCGGGUCUAGUGGCGCACGGGUGCGUAACGCGUGGGAACCUACCCUUAGGUUCGGAAUAACUCCCCGAAAGGGGUGCUAAUACCGGAUAAUGUCUUCGGACCAAAGACUUAUCGCCUUUGGAUGGGCCCGCGUUGGAUUAGCUAGUUGGUAGGGUAAAAGCCUACCAAGGCGACGAUCCAUAGCUGGUCUGAGAGGAUGAUCAGCCACACUGGGACUGAGACACGGCCCAGACUCCUACGGGAGGCAGCAGUGGGGAAUAUUGGACAAUGGGCGAAAGCCUGAUCCAGCAAUGCCGCGUGAGUGAUGAAGGCCUUAGGGUUGUAAAGCUCUUUUACCCGGGAUGAUAAUGACAGUACCGGGAGAAUAAGCUCCGGCUAACUCCGUG